CCAAAGUUUGGUCCCUGUGUAGCGAUUGAACCUUUCCGAACAUCGAUACGACACCAGUCCUUGCAUUCUCGUCAAACCUUCGAAUGCUAUCUCCCGAAGACCGUAGCAAGCUCAGUCCAUGUUUCCCGCUAUUCUAAUUCGUCGAUCAAACUUCGCGGAUUAGAAACCGCGGAAAAAUUCGUAGUAAACGUGUCGAGUCGGAAGACGGCCCGAAGGGACCUAAAACACGACUCGA
rnacentral:lncRNA from 1 species